CUCCUAAGGAGAGGUCGCAAGACGUAUCCGAUGGACAACAGGUUUAGAUUCCUGUACCGCAUAUAAACAGAACUGUGGGGACGCAUGUGGAAAGCAUAAGCCGGGAAUGGAAAGACCGGUACAAGCGAGGUAGGUGUGUGACAGGCAAAUCCGUCAUAUAAGCCGAAGACGUGAUGUGGAGCGAAAUUUAGUAGUGAAGUAUGUGAGCCAUGUGCCGAGAAAAGCCGCUAUUGUUUUAUAUGUGCCCGUACCGUAAACCGACACAGGUGGAUGAGGAGAAAAUCCUAAGGCCGACGGAAGAAGCAUUGUUAAGGAAUUCGGCAAAAUGACCCCGUAACUUCGGGAGAAGGGGUGCCCACUGAAUGGUGGGCCGCAGAGAAUAGGCUCAAGCAACUGUUUAGCAAAAACACAGGUCUAUGCGAAACCGAAAGGUGAAGUAUAUGGGCUGACGCCUGCCCGGUGCUGGAAGGUUAAGAGGAGAGGUUAGCGUAAGCGAAGCUUUGAAUUUAAGCCCCAGUAAACGGCGGCCGUAACUAUAACGGUCCUAAGGUAGCGAAAUUCCUUGUCGGGUAAGUUCCGACCCGCACGAAAGGCGUAAUGAUUUGAGCACUGUCUCGACAAUGCAUCCGGUGAAAUUGAAGUACCAGUGAAGAUGCUGGUUACCCGCGCCAGGACGGAAAGACCCCAUGGAGCUUUACUCCAGUUUGAUACUGGGAUUCGGUACUGCACGUACAGGAUAGGUGGGAGACUGAGAACUAUGGACGCCAGUCUGUAGGGAGUCGCUGUUGGGAUACCACCCCUGUAGUACUGGGUUUCUAACCAUCUGCCGUGAUCCGGCAGUGGGACAAUGUCAGGCGGGGAGUUUGACUGGGGCGGUCGCCUCCGAAAGGGUAUCGGAGGCGCUCAAAGGUUCCCUCAGAAUGGUCGGAAACCAUUUGAAGAGUGCAAAGGCAGAAGGGAGCUUGACUGCGACACCGACGGGUGGAGCAGGUACGAAAGUAGGACUUAGUGAUCCGGUGGUAUAAAGUGGGAUUGCCAUCGCUCAACGGAUAAAAGCUACCCUGGGAUAACAGGCUUAUCACUCCCAAGAGUUCACAUCGACGGAGUGGUUUGGCACCUCGAUGUCGGCUCAUCGCAUCCUGGGGCUGUAGCAGGUCCCAAGGGUUGGGCUGUUCGCCCAUUAAAGCGGUACGCGAGCUGGGUUCAGAACGUCGUGAGACAGUUCGGUCCCUAUCCGGCGCGGGCGGAGGAUAUUUGAGAGGAGCUGUCCUUAGUACGAGAGGACCGGGAUGGACGGACCACUGGUGUAUCUGUUGUCGACCAACGGCAUGGCGGAGUAGCCAAGUCCGGAAGGGAUAAACGCUGAAGGCAUCUUAGCGUGAAGCCCCCCUCAAGAUGAGAUAUCCCUCCUUCGGGAGUAAGACCCCUUGAAGACUACAAGGUAGAUAGGGCAGAGGUGGAAGUGUGGCAACACAUGGAGCUGACUGUUACUAAUAGGUCGAGGGCUUGAUC
rnacentral:rRNA from 1 species